UCUCACUGACUUGGGGGCAAUAAAACGUCUUCUGAGUCUUAUGAAGCAUAUAGUACGGAACAAAGCAGAGUAUUUUUUUGUAAAGUGAUUUUGUUAUGUGGCUUAGUCGGCGGACUCUAAGUGCUCUCUAUCAUACGCCAUUUAUUUUUCAUAUCUGUCAGGACCGGCUGCCUAAAGGAUGCGACCCGCCUCUAAGAGCAGAGUGGUAGUUUAAUGGGAGGAGCACGUUUAACAGCAACUCCUACUUUAGGCGAAGUGACUUCCACUAAGAGACAGAGAAAAUGAACCUGAGCCGGACGCCGGACAAUCCAGGAGGUUAGAAAUAGAGUAACCACACUAGCAGGCCCCUGUCUAACUGCGCAUGCUCAGGACAGGGGCGGACGUGGUUAAAGAGAACUCUGGCAUCUGCUCACUACUUGAUUUAAGUUGGUCCCCGAGACUCCGGAGUGCGCCUGCGCCUGCUGGGGGGGUGGAGCCUGAAGUGACGUGUGGGGGCGGGGCUGUAGCCGGCGUCUCUCCCGCGCUUUUACAGAAAAAGUGCGCAUUUUGACGUUUCCGAGCUUACCUACGUGGGUUGUCAAUUGAGGGCCCGAUUUAAGGGCUUUAGGAGAACUGCCGACACCCGCCCUGGGACUCCAACCUACGGCAACAAAAAUGUAGCCGGAGCGGGACCGUAAACAGCUUGCACCCCGACAAAGAGGAAUAAGGCUGGGCCUAGGGAGAGGCAAGAAGGACUCCUAGGCUGAAAAUUUAAGGAGGCAGUCCCUCUCAGGGUCAGGUACUGCUUGAAGAACUUUCAACCACUCUUGGUGAUGCCAAGGAUACAUUUUGCUAAAACAGUAAUUAUGCUUCUGGACCCUUGCCUGGUAAAAUGAAAAACAUGUAAAACA